rnacentral:rRNA from 1 species
GACGUAGGGCGCGAGCGUUGUCCGGAUUUAUUGGGCGUAAAGAGCUCGUAGGCGGCUCGUUGCGUCGGCUGUGAAAAUCCGGGGCUCAACCCCGGACUUGCAGUGGGUACGGGCAGACUAGAGUGUGGUAGGGGAGACUGGAAUUCCUGGUGUAGCGGUGAAAUGCGCAGAUAUCAGGAGGAACACCGAUGGCGAAGGCAGGUCUC